rnacentral:lncRNA from 1 species
CAAUUCAUCUAUUUUUUUACUUUAUUUUUUUGACGUAAGCUCCGCUUGUUAAUAGGAGCGCAACAAUACAAAAAUCCGACUACUCAUCCUUAAUCUCCCUAACAUGAAACAAUAAAAUCACGAAUCCUAAAUCGAGAGAAUGGAAAUGUGUCUUCAGGAGGUGAUAUUUCUCAUUUAAAAAGGUCCACUCUCAUUUGGACUCCGCAUCGUAACGUUCACACAUUCAUACUGAGCACAUCCCAAUUGCCAAUCGGAGACAUUGAUAACCACUACUCACCGAUACAGUGGCAGAUUCAAGAGCUU